rnacentral:rRNA from 1 species
CCUACGGGCGGCAGCAGUGGGGAAUAUUGCACAAUGGGGGAAACCCUGAUGCAGCGACGCCGCGUGAAGGAAGAAGUAUUUCGGUAUGUAAACUGCUAUCAGCAGGGAAGAAAAUGACGGUACCUGACUAAGAAGCCCCGGCUAACUACGUGCCAGCAGCCGCGGUAAUACGUAGGGUGCAAGCGUUAUCCGGAUUUACUGGGUGUAAAGGGAGCGAAGGGGGUGAUGCAAGUCAGAAGUUAAAGCCCGCAGCUAAACUGCCGGACUACUUUUGAAACUGUAUUACUAGAUUGCAGGAGAGGUAAGUGGAAUUGCUAGUGUAGCGGUGAAAUGCGUAGAUAUUAGGAGGAACACCAGGGGCGAAGACGGGUUACUGGACCGUAAAUGACGCUGAGGCUCGAAAGCGUGGGGAGCAAACAGGAUUAGAUACCCGAGUAGUC